UACAGAGGGUGCGAGCGUUAAUCGGAAUUACUGGGCGUAAAGCGUGCGUAGACGGUAGCGUAAGUCAGAUGUGAAAGCCCCGGGCUCAACCUGGGAACUGCAUUUGAGACUGCUCUGCUCGGGUGCGGAAGAGGGAAGCGGAAUUUCCGGUGUAGCGGUGAAAUGCGUAGAUAUUGGGAGGAACACCAGUGGCGAAGGCGGCUCACUGGACCGGAACUGACGCUGAGGCGCGAAAGCGUGGGGAGCAAACAGG
rnacentral:rRNA from 1 species